rfam:Schistosoma mattheei strain Denwood, Zambia genome assembly, scaffold: SMTD_scaffold0015779
AUCCAACUGAUGAGUCCCAAAUAGGACGAAACGCGUGUCUUUCAU